GUCGAUUUGUUUAAACGCAGAACUACACUGGCAGUAGCGCAAUAUCUUGUUAUCAUACUCCUCGUAGUCGCUCCCUUUCUUUUGGCCUCAUUACCUUUUAUACACUCCUUUCUGUUUGUUUUAUUCUUACUCCCUUCAUCUCUCCAGUUCUCCAUCUCCCUGUGCGUUACUUUCUCCUCCUCAUAACUGUAGUGACCAUCCCCCCCGCUCUUUUCUUUUGCUGUGGGAGGUGAAGGUGUGUAAGAAUAAUUCAAAUGAAGGGAGAACAACAGAAGUUAGAAGCAGGGCAGACACUUGAAGCAGUAGUCGUUGCAGACAAGAGGAGGAGCAUCAAGGACAGUCAUUUUCCUAGCCAGUCAGUCGUUAAGUUAGUCAGUCAUUCUGAACAGACUGUACCCUCACAGUGGCUUCCUCUUAACUCUAUUUCAUGGAUGUAGAGGGAGAGGUAGCACUCACUUUGCAAAACAUGAAAGAACACUUUAUGUGGAAAAGUUCCCUUUGGAUUCAUUUUGUUUUCGUGCUCAGUGUCAAAAUAUUGACACAGGAGGGAGAAAGCAAACUGUGUUUUACUCUCAUGUAUCAGACUUUUUGUCAUUUUGAAUUAUUGAUAAUCCUAUAAGGCGGGUUGUGCUGGACACGAGGCUAUCCUCAGGUCUUUCUUUUACACAUCUGAAGUGGUAGUACCUGUGGAACUGGCAAUCUGUAGCUAGCAAUCUAAAGCUCUUUUUUUGUUACAACUGUAGCGUUGCUUAGGGCUAAACAACAGACUGAGCAGAUUUUUGUAAAACACCUGGCCCCAGGCCUUGCAGGCCUUUCAAAGUGUUUGGCUAAUGGCAAAUUGUAGAGGCUGUAGAUGGCUGUGUUGGGACCAAAAUAAUCAUAUGUAGCAGUGUUGGGAAAAAGACAAAGAGGUAGAAUAUGUAAGGUGUGGACUAAAGGUGACCUUUCAUAUGAUAUGAGCAAACAGUUACAGUGCUAAUCCAUACAGCUCCACUAGCAGCUACAUUAUCGUUUUGUAUACUGUUUAUUGCUGAAAAUACUUGUGACACAGUAACCAAAAUAAUAAAAUAUCUCACUACUGUACAGCUGUGCAUCUUAAUUUUCUUUCAAAGUCACAGCAAAUCAGUGAACUUCUGUCACGUUCGUACAAUAUAAUAUUAUAUAACAAUAUAAUAAAUCUAAUAUUUAUAUUGUACGAACGUGAUAAUUAUGUAUAUUGUAUAUUGUAAUAAAGUGAUAUUAUAUUCUACAAACAUGAAAAGCAUAUUGUUAGAACAAUAAACUUUUCACCUUAUAACGUGAUAUAGCUCUAUUUUUCUUUUGCCUGGGUGGCAGCUCUAUGCUCCUGUAAUUUGGUUAUCAAAAUACGUAACUUAAUUAAUUAUAUUGUGACGUACUUUAGCCUUUUCUUAUUAUUCUGCCUUCUCAGAAAGGGAAAAUUUUUUACAAAUAAAAUUGUUUACACUUGUUAUAUACAAUAACUAUCAAAACCUAUUUACAUUUAAUUUGACUUUCACAGAAAUCCCACCUCUCUUUCUGGCUACAGAGCACUUACUUACCAAGCCCAUGAAAUCGAAUGCAGAUCUUCCUGAGAUGUCAAAGUCUCAACCUCAUGUUGCCCUCCCCCAUCCUCCUAAAGUGGUGUCGGAGAGGCGGAUGCUGUCCAAGAUAAAGACAAUGUUGGAUAACACCUCCCACCCACUCCAUGACAUGUUGGUCAGUCACAGGAGCUCGUUCAGUGAGAGACUGAGAUUACCGAAAAGCACCACUGAACGACACAGGAAAUCAUUCCUGCCUGUGGCCAUCUCCCUGUACAACGCAUCCACUUAACACACUGUUUGCUGCAACAACUACACAUGUUUCUUUUCCAAAUAUUUAUUUAUAAGUGACUUAUGUAUGUAUGUAUGUAUAUAUAUGUAUAUAUUGUACUAUUCUUAGUUAGCGUAUUGUCUGUCUUGUCUUAAUGUUGGUUUAAAAUGGAGCACUGUAACAAAAAAUAAUUUCCCCCAGGGAUCAAUAAAGUAUUCUGAUUCUG
ensembl:lncRNA